AUUUUACAAAAUCUUUUAAAUCUUUUAAGCUAAAGUUUUUGGUACAAAAAAAUAUAUGAUUCUAUUUAAAAUGAAUAAUAUUUUUGUAAUAAUAUCUUAUAUUGAUAAAUUUGACAUAAAUAAUUUACAUACCUUUUAAGUUCAAACAAAUUUCCUGUCAUGUAUCCUCAAGAAGAUUACUCGAUAUCUUAAACCGCCCACGUCAAUUACCGCCACGAAAAUCUUGGUUCGUGAUUUCUCUCCUCCAUUUUUCGUCACGUGUCAAUGGUGCGCACGCUCCUUUCGCAUUAACGCGCAUGUCAGUCCAAUGGAGAUUAAUUGCUUACCCACAACCGGCUGCAAUUACAACUGAUCGCGAUUCGUACACUUUUACACGAAUCGGCAUGAUGGAGCGCACGUGGAAACGGGCUUUAAAGGAACUCGAUAUGGUUGGGUGCUCAUACGAAAUACUGGGCGAAAUAAUGAUGCCGUAAAACGAGGUACGAUCUCUGGCGGCUCCCAGAAAUCUCGUGUGUACAAAUUAACGAUGGAAUUCGAUUACGUGAGUGCACAUACAUUUAAAGUUGAAUACGGAUGGGAGAUUGAUGGAAAUGACGUUUGCAUCAUUCGAAAUACUUCGUGCUUACAGUGUUAAAUUAUGUGGAUAAUAUAUUUCUCAUAUUAUUAUCGUUGUUCUUUGCCAUUUAUGGAUCAGUGUUUAAAUACAUAAUUUAAAAUUGAUACACUAGUUUGGAAGCAUAAAUCCUGUUAUUGUUAAUAAUACGUUACAAAUGAUGUGGAGAUAUUAUAAUUAUCUAUGAUGAAGAUCGCGUGUGUCAUAAAAAUCUAGGAAGAAAUGAAAUUUAGCCCGGAAUCUUAAUUAAACCAUCACUGGUGUGAAAAUAAUUGGCGAAUUUACUAUUCCUUUGAUGUCAGAUAACAUAGAUUUCUCCUAAUUAAGCUUGACUUACGCCAACAAGAUUUGUCCAUCAAUUCCAUAAGACCUAGAAUUAAAACUGAUACUUUCAAAACGAUACGAAACAAAGCAUUUCGUACAAUUCAAAUAAUUUUGAAAAAAAAUUUAAAAACUAAACGAAAAUUUGAAAAAAAAAUUGUAUAAAGAAACUAACUAAAUUGAAUAAUUCUCUUAUAUGUUAAUAUUCAGUAUUAUAUUUUUGAACAGAAACAAAAUUCAAAAAUUCUUAAAAAAUAUAUGGUGUUAGAAAAAAAUUUUAUAAAAACAUAUCACAAUACACUACACAUUCAAUAUGAUGUGAAUUCACUGUUGGAUUUCAAUCUAUAAGUUGAGAAACAUUGAUCUGUAAUACACUAUUUUCUAUAACAUUGUAUAUUCAAUGGAAAAUAUAAAUCUUCUUUUAAUCUUUUCAUAUACUUCGAAUUUUAAUAUUUGACAAAAAUAACGAGUUAACUAGCCACAGUACAUCACGUAUUUUCCAUUUACCAAAUCAACAAUUUCAAUCUCAUUGAAAAACGAUUCGAAUCCAAGUCAAUGAUCGAUGGAGGAAAACAACUCAGGGGUCACCGUCCGUUCGUAUCAAAAGAAGGAUAUUUCCAGGAUCUUUUCUAGAUAGGACAGGCGUGCACAGGCAGAGUAUGUGUCGUGGCCGAUAAUUAUCGACGAGGCUGAUCGUGCGUGCGGCCAGAAAAAUGGCGAGCAACGGGACAGGUCGGUCGGCGACUACUGCCUAGACCGCGGUCUCCUGUCGAUGUCGAAUGAAGAUGUCCCGGCUAUGUUCUCCCUUGCCUACGUACCAGCUGGAAUAAGUGUGGGUAAUUUGCUCGACUGGCUAGACCACUUGUUUUGCGGAGGGAACCGAUGCCGUUUAAGAGACCGUGCCACCGAGCAAAUUCUCGUUCACGUAUGUGUUACGUAAUUCAUGUGCACGAUUAUUGUGUGCAUGAAAAUGGAUCCGUGAGAGAUGGAUUUAUGAUUUUGGAAGAGAAAAUAAUGCAUUUUUGAUAUAUUAUAUUAUUUAAUGAUUUUUUUUAUUUUGAAUUUUAUGUCUUGGUCUUUUUUAAGUUUAAACUUGAGAUAAUAAUUGUAUAUUCUUGAGGUAUUUUAUGAGGUAAUAAGAAUAUAUGUUCUUUCAUUUUUUUUUUUUUUUUUUAGUUUUUCUUGCAGAGGAAAAAAUCAUGGGAUAUAGAACAUAGAGAAAGUUUGCACUUAUUGAAUGAUAUUGAAAUUGAUCUCAAGAGUUAAGAAAGAUAUAAUCAUGUUUUGAUAAUGUUUUAUGAAAGAAACUCUUGCUACAUCAUCAAUUAGUAAUACAAAUUAUUUUAUGUAUAAAAAGGAAGAAUAUAAGAAUAUAAGAUCAGUGAAAAAUAUUUGAGAAGUAGACUAUUAGUGAAAUGUGUGAAUUUUUAAUAACAGAAAUUAUCGUGUCUUUAACGUAAUUAAAAUUCUAGAUUUUCGAGAAUUUCAAAGUAAUCUAGUUUGUCUUGACAUGCAAAAAUGUGAUUUUUUAAUCAAACAUCUAAAAAAAUUCGAUAAGAGAUAUGAGACUCAAAUGCAUUUAAAAAAAAUAGUUGAAGGCUGAUUGCAUGAAACAUGUAAAGUGAAAAUAGAUGUCGAACACGAAAUAAGAAUAAUAAAAUAUCUAAUCGAAAGGUAUAGAUUAGUCAGAUACGAUAUCAAAGUUAAUUGGUAUGUAACUAUUUUAUGUUUAUAUAGAGUUUUAUACAUGUGUAAUAAAGCUUUAUAAAAUAGAAUUAUUUUAUGCAUUAGAUCAUAAACUUAAUGUUUUUUUUCUUUAAUUACAAGAAUUCUCUUAUUCGAAAAAAUAAUAUAGUCUUUUAUGUUAAUUUUGAUAUUAGAGUCUCCAUUAUAUUAUUAUAUUAUCAAAUUCAUUACAACAAAAUGAAAUCGAAAAAAAUCAUCGAUUACAUUUAUAUCAUAUAAAAAUUAAAUAAUCAUCUUCAUUAUCAAAUAUUCUUCUUGAUACAUUAUGAAUUACAUUAAUAUUUAUCUUAAUUCUUGAUUUUCUUCUUCUAUAUUGAAUAAAAUAUAAAGGAAUAUAUUUGAAUAUAUUUUUUCUCACUUAUUAUUUUUUUCUAUAUUUGUUAUAAUAUAAAAAAAAUCCAAACAUUCAUAAAACUAUCUUAAUAUUGAUUAAAUUUCAACAUCAUUUUUUAUAUCUAAAAAUAAUUUAGAUUUCAAUUUUCAAGUACUUUUAAUUUUUGAUUCUUUUUCUUCUUUAUAUUUAGAAAAUGUAAGUACUAGCUCGACUAUCAAGAUUAAAUUUCAAUAUCUUAUAAAUUUUAUAAGUAGUUUGAAUCUCGAUUUUUACCUACUUAUUCAACUUUCAUUGUAUUUAGCAACCUAGAGCGAAGAAAUGAGAGAAUGCAAAGUAUUCCUGUUCGACCUUUGACAACUCGCUCGGAACACAGAGAGGCCAUACGUCAGGAAGACCGGUUAAUGGACACCAAAGUAACAACCGGCAGGUUUCCCUUUACUCUGUGCUAUGCGUUUAAGCAACAAGGGCCGGUGGCUAGAAUUAAUGAGGCACCAGUUUCCAGUAAUGUUAGUCGUGAUAGGAUCGGCGAAUCAAAAUGCAGAUUUGUACAGAUGAAGAGUCUGGCACUGGUUCGAUUGCUGUACACGUUCCAAUGUUUAAUGGUUUGAAUGUGUCGCUAAGAUCAAGAUAUAUUCAGAGCUCGCGAUAAGCGGAUAUUUGAAAGGAUAUUUGAUAAAUCCUUUGAUCAGCCAUUCAAGAUAUUUUAUAACAUAAAUAUUUAAUAAUUUUAGAUUUUUCAAAUUUUAGUUCUAUAUAAAUGAAAGUAAUAUUGUGGAGAGUAAUUAAAAUCUAUAUAUUUGAUUGAGAAGAUAUUUUAUAAAUUCUAAAAAAUUACAAAAAUAAUUAUUUGUUUUAAAAUUUUGAUCAUUAUAGGAAAUUAAAUAUACUUUGAAUAUUGAAAUAAUUGUGAAUUACAUUUUUUCUUAAAUUUUGAAUGUUAAAUACUUGUUAAUAUUAUAAGAAAACAAAUAAGAAGAAAGGAAAUUAAUAACAUUGAUUGAAGCUCAAUUUACAUAUAAUCAAUAGUGAAUAAUCAAUUGUAGAAACAAUACUAAUUGUACAAUGUGCAUAGUUUUAUAGAUAUGUCAUACUUAGUUGUGCAAGUAUAUAGAAAAUUAUAGGAUGCAUCGUUAUCAUUCAAAGACUUGUAAUAUACCUUAUUCAAACUAUGUUAGAUAUAUGAAGUCUUUCAACAUUUUCUAAGAUUAUUACGAACUUACGAUUUUAAAUGAUGAUUUGAAUGACUUGACAUUUUUGUAUUGAAUAUAUGAUGUGCCAUUUCAAUGAAAUCUAUUUCUGAAUAGAAAUAUUUGACGAUUAAUUAAUGAAUGUCAGCUUGAAUAAUCUCUACUUACUACCACUUUAUUACUCAAACUCCUUUCUUUUUUUUCUUAUAUAGUGUAUUAAAUAUAUUGAAUUUAAAUAUAUUAUUUUAUUUAUUUCUUACUUAUUCAUUUUAAACAACUUUCACAUAUCAAUUUGAUUUUAAACUAAUAUUUGUCAUUUUGUUACAAAAUUUGUCUUUUAAUUCACUUAAAGAAUUUAUUUUAAUAUUGAGUUCAAGAUCUCAAUACUUAAGUAAUAUUUUUCUUUACAAACAUUCAAUUUAUUAUAUUCGACAUUAAUCAAUAAGAAUAUAGAAAUGUACUAAAAUAACAAAGCAAUCUUUAAAAAUUCUUAAAAUAACCCCUUGAUCCAUCUUCUCGACCUACUCGUCAUGCCAAGCUCACACAGCUGGCUGUAUUUCAUCAGGAAAGUUUUGUUCCCGAGUGCACAGUGCUGCCGUUGACCCAUGAAAUUACCCGUUGAAAAUUUCCCGAACGCCGUUUUCCCCUGUGCGCGCAACUCUCACAUUCCGACCACGCGUUUACAUACGUGUGCACGUAUAUAAUGAUAGAUAUCACCGCAUCAUCUAUUGUAACGCGUGUAAUGAGAAUCGCAAAUAGGCGUGCAAUUUGAUAAGCUUGUCAACCGUCGUUACGGUUCAUGCGUCUGCAGAAUUGAAUAGGGACUACAGUUAGACCGAAGGGCGCUACGGGCGCAGACAGACAGAUACAGGAAGGAGAGGCCACAUAGUUAGGUUAUGUUAUGAGAACCUAUAUGUAUUUGCAUACAUCAAUUUUGAAAAGGUUAUGUGGUAAUGAUUAAUAUCUUACAAUUAUUUUAAAUAAUUUUAAUUGUGAAUAAUCGUUGUAACAAACAGACAAAGAUAGAAAGGGGAAAUUACACAGUUAAGUUAUGAACAGAAAUCCUUUAGAGUUAUACGUACUUAUAGACAGAUACAGAAAGGAAAAUCUAUAUAGUUAGGUUAUAUUAUGAGAAUCUAUAUUUAUAUGUAUUUAUUAAUUUUAAAAAGAUUAAUAUCUUACAUUCUUUAGUUCCUUUAAAUAAUUAGAAUUGUGAAUAACAGAAAAAAAUUGUUGCAAUAGAAAAAAACCACAUAAAAGAUAGAUUACAUAGUAUGAAAAGUUACAUGAUAAUAUCUUAUAAUUAAUUAGUUAUAAUUGUAUAAUAAGACAAAGACAUAUAAAAGAAUUAUAGAUAUAUAAUAUACAAUAAGAUAAUGAUUCUAAACAUUAUGAAAAGAAUUGAUUAACUUGAUAGAUGCUAUCCUCAUCAUUUAGAAUAAACAUAUGUAGAUAAUAAAUUUUUCAUAAUAUAUGUGCCAAAGAAUCUUUUUAAUUCGGUAUCAUUUAUUAAAAAAAACUUAAAAAUUUAUUAUAUAUUUAAAAUCACGAAAGAAUAUCUUUUCAAAAGAAUAUUUGUUGCAUAAUAGUCCAAAUACAUCGUGCAUCGAAUCUUUUUUAUCUAAAAUACUUUGAACAAACUUCCACGAUUUUUUAUAUUUCUCAAUCAUCUCGGUGUAUAAGAAAUUACAACAUAACAAACUUAUGAUCCAACCUUGAAAAAUGGCCAUGGAACAUUUUCCUCCACGAGACAGCAAUAAUUUCCAAGCGAAGCUUUUCAGGAUCUUCGUUAAACGUUCUGAAGUGGCGUUCCCGUUAGAGGAAUCCAGCUGGCUAUGAGGAAGCAAUGUCCUUUGUCUUGUCAGACGCGUUUCCCCGUUCAAAGCUUCGGACUUCUCGCGUCCUGGGGAAUUCAUAGGUUUGUUAUGCGCGCGAUUCCCUCUACCGAUGCAAUCUCGCCGCGUUUUAUGUUCUUGUGCCUGCCACUAGGGGGAAAAACGAAUCGCGCGAAACGUGGCCUGAACCGAUGGCGAUCAAGUAAAAACGUGGAAACGUGGAAACGUGUACCAGGCUGCUACCGUACCUAUUUUCCUGUUCUUUUUUUCGCGAUUCGUUUUCCAGCGGUUUUCGAUCGUGAACGAUUCUGCGGCUUCCGGAAGAGGAAGAAGACGUAUACAAGAUGUCUGACGAUAAGUUCGUUUUGUGCAAUAAUAAACUUAUUUUCAUUUAGCAUCGUGAAAAUCAGUGUUUUAUUUAUUUAAUCUAGAAAAAAAAUCCACGAAUGGAUUGCUUCUAGAAAUACCAUAAAUAUCAAGCCUCUCAAGGCUUUCCUCUUUUUACAAGAUAUAGAACGUGAAUUUUUCUUCCCAGACUCGACUGUUCUCAUGUCAUUGAAAAAAUGAAAAAAAUAAAAAAACAGGAAAACUCAACAGAAAUUUCUCGAUCAUAUAUAAUACGAAGAAAAAAGAAAUUUUAUAUAGAUGUCGAUCUUACGUAAAACAUGGAUACAAAUCUAUUCCUUGAUGCAAAGGAUAGUUUAAUGUCACUGUUUCCAUCUUCGACGUGAAAGCAUUUGGAUGAGACAAAUUUAUGAAACGUCAGACAUGAUCAUUGUACACGGGGCCAAUGAAAUUCCAACGGGUUGCAUAAGGAUUUCCUGGAUGGAGGAUCACUGGUGAAAGCUGAGACAACGUCCUCAUUAUGACCUUUUAACGUUAUAUUGGAUUAUUUUUAUGAUAAUUACCACCAUUUGUGUAUGGUAUGAUGGUACAUGUACGUGGACGUUGAAUGAAUUUAAGAGAAAUUAUAGAUCCAAUGUGCUAUAAUAUAUGUAAGUUUGUGGUACGGGAUACAAAGGAUAAUGGUAGCGGAAAAGGAUAAUAGUAGUGUUUCGAUAUGCAAGAUAUUCGAAAUUAUAUGGGGUACAGCGUGGGACAUCUAAUUUGCAUGUCUUGAAUAACUAUGUAUUAAAUGUUCACUGUAUUAAAUUGUGUAAAGCAUUUAAUUUAAUUUAUUUUCUAUAUUAUUGGAGAUUAUUGGAAUUAUAUAAGAUAGGAAGUUAACUUAUUUCAUUUAUAUUUUAAAUAUAAAAAAAAAUAUAAUUUCUUUUAUAAAAUUAA